rnacentral:antisense_RNA from 1 species
GAGGUGCGGCGCGGGCCCUCCUCCCAUUGGACCCGGCGCUCCCGGCAGGCAGGCCUACAGAAUUGGGCAUGAAACAGCAAAGGAUGGCCUCUGCUUCCACCACCAUCAGAAAUGUUACAUUUUCACCAGUGCACCAUAAUGUAGCAGUCUCUCAUUGUGAGGUAUCACCUGGAGUUCUUUGUCUCAUGACCAAGAAAAUUAAGGAGCGUGGAUGCAAAGGAUGAAGUUGCAGCGAAAGUUUAAUAAGCAAAAGAAGAAAGCUCUCCACAGUGGAGAGGGGACCUGGAGGAGGGUUGCUGCUUUUACAGGGGGUGACCUUUAUCUUCAUGGCCCAGUGUGACUGCAAGAGCUCUAGCAUCCAAGUUCCCAGCAGAAGGAUGGAGGACUGACUGGAAAAACAAGGAGACACAGGGUAUGCAUCGGGAUCUUUCUGCUGAUGCAGCUGUUAAGAGUGUUUCAUAAACUGUGACAACACUGAGCAAAAUCAUAGAAGGAAACUCUAUGGACAAUUUCAGAUGGAGAAGAAGAAAGGACUGGAAGUUCAAUUUGGCCAUGACAAUUAGACUUGAAGAAGCUGAGUGAGAAGGCCAUGCAGAUAUCUUGGAGAAGUGCAUUCCAGGCAGAGGAAAAGCCAGUGCAGAGACACUGAAGCAGGGCAUGACUGAUGUGUAUAAGGAGCAUCAUAUACAUGAUCAUCUACAGUCCACUGAGAAUAGCAGACGAA